rnacentral:tRNA from 1 species
GAACGUAUGGCUUAGUUAGUCAGAAUACUUGGACGCUUUUGAAGAGGCGCGGGUUCAAAUCCCGCUACGUGCA